rnacentral:rRNA from 1 species
AUUGAACGCUGGCGGCAGGCCUAACACAUGCAAGUCGAACGAGGGGCGGACGGGUGAGUACUGUAUGUGAAACUGCCUGUUGGAGGGGGAUAACUACUGGAAACGGUAGCUAAUACACCAUACCCGCGGCUGUGCCCAUAUGGGAUUAGCUGGUAGGUGGGGAAAAGGUUCACCUAGGCGACGAUCCCUAGCUGGUAUGAGAGGAGGACCAGCCACACUGGAACUGAGACACGGCCCAGACUCCUACGGGAGGCAGCAGUGGGGAAUAUUGCACAAUGGGCGCAAGCCUGAUGCAGCCAUGCCGCGUGUAUGAAGAAGGCCUUCGGGUUGUAAAGUACUUUCAGCGGGGAGGCGUUACCCGCAGAAGAAGCACCGGCUAACUCCGUGCCAGCAGCCGCGGUAAUUC